rnacentral:misc_RNA from 1 species
UCCUCUUUACAGAGGCAGUUUGUUUCGAGUUCCCGCCAUUACGCGCUGGCAACAAAACAUGAGGGUUGCGCUCGUUGCGGGACUUAACCCAACAUUUCACAACACGAGCUGACGACAGCCAUGCACCACCUGCGGACCACCCUUGAAGGCGACUCGCUUUCACGAGCUUGCAGGUCCAUGUCAAGCCUGGGUAAGGUUCUUCGCGUUGCAUCGAAUUAAGCCACAUGCUCCACCGCUUGUGCGGGCCCCCGCCAAUUCCUUUGAGUUUCAACCUUGCGGCCGUAGUCCCCAGGCGGUUCACUUAAUGCGUUAGCUGCGGCACCGAAGGUUACCCCCCGACACCUAGUGAACAUAGUUUACUGCGUGGACUAC